ACGGAAGGCAGCAGUGGGGAAUAUUGGGCAAUGGGCGAAAGCCUGACCCAGCAACGCCGCGUGAAGGAAGAAGGUCUUCGGAUUGUAAACUUCUUUUAUGAGGGACGAAGGAAUUGACGGUACCCCAUGAAUAAGCCACGGCUAACUACGUGCCAGCAGCCGCGGUAAUACGUAGGUGGUAAGCGUUAUCCGGAUUUACUGGGUGUAAAGGGCGCGUAGGCGGGAAAGCAAGUCAGAUGUGAAAUCCAUGGGCUCAACUCAUGAACUGCAUUUGAAACUGUUUUUCUUGAGUGUCGGAGAGGUAGAUGGAAUUCCUAGUGUAGCGGUGAAAUGCGUAGAUAUUAGGAAGAACACCAGUGGCGAAGGCGAUCUACUGGACGAUAACUGACGCUGAGGCGCGAAAGCGUGGGGAGCAAACAGGAUUAGAUACCCUGGUA
rnacentral:rRNA from 1 species